ACAAAAAGAUUUUUUUUUAAUCGAUCUAUAGAUUGCUGUAAUCAUAGUUAGGGUGCACUGUUUAUCAACGACAAAGCUACGUUCUAUAACUGGAGAUUCUUCACUCUUAAAGCUCAUUUAAAAUGAUGGUCAUUUUAUAUGCAUCAAACAUGGUACGUUAGUGUUCGGAUCAGAGAGCUGCUUUUAAUCAUAUGCCCAACGAGACCAUCCUCAAUUUUACUAAAACAAUCUUUGCUGAACCUGGAGCCUAUGAAGUGCACUGGACGAAAAGUGCAGAAUUCCACUUGAUCAGUAGCCGCGAGGAUUAGAGAUGAAAUGCACAAAGUUCAACAAAAUGUUUUUGCGUAACAUCCAUUUUUAAAUAACGCAUACACAUACAUUCAUUGAACUUCCAAGGGAAACAACUAUUUUAUCAUCAUCAUCAUCGCAGGAGUGUUGUGUGAUUUUUAUCCGCAGGGCACGAGACCCACUUAGACCAAAGCGCAACAUCUGGUGGACCUCUUGAUGGCGCCGAGGAGCCAUUUGUGCAACAUUUGUCGCCAAACUGCAAAGAGGGUGGACGGAGGUUGGAUGCACAAACCCUGGGAAAAGCAACGCUUUGUCCAUAUAAGGCCGCGAUCCAUCCGCUUCCCUCUUCCUCCUUGCUCCCCUGCCUUUCUCAGACCUUCGGGAUAUUUACAGAGAGUUCCUUCCUUAUUAGGAGCUCUGCUUGUUGUCUAGCCUGCAGGACAGUGAUCCGCUACUUGGCUCUCAUGAGAUAAAAACUGAUGGAUCUUCACGCACAAAAGAACGACUGCUCCAGUGUGACCAAAUGCCACGCUAUUAAAAAAAGAACAAUGCACAGGGUGCAUGCGAACAAAAGCGCAGUAAACCAGGUACCCACAAAUUACAAGUUAGGCAACAUGAUUUAGACCAUGUUUGGGAAUGAGGGAAUUCCAUCGUGAUGUUUAAGUCCUCUCCACGUACAUCUAAAACCAGGCACUAGGUUUCUUUUAGGGUGCAGACAUCCAUUUUAAUAUAUUAGAAAAACAUGUGAAGGAAGGCUACAUGAUGGUUUACUUCAAAAAGGGUAUGGAGGACUAAUAUUUAUACACAUGUAAUAUACAAAAAAAAACUUUCUCUUGGAAGAGAAAUUUACAAUGAAAAACUAUGACAUUUAUAUUUUUAUCAAUGAUAAAAAAUACAUUCAUAGCUUUAACAGGCUUCAACUGAACAGCAAUUGUUUUUAUUGCUUUGCAGAGAAUAAAGUGCCUUGACCUGGUUCUCUGGUCUUUUCAUUUAAGAGCAUGGAGUGUGUGAGUGUGU